UGGGGAAUUUUGGACAAUGGGCGAAAGCCUGAUCCAGCAAUGCCGCGUGUGUGAAGAAGGCCUUCGGGUUGUAAAGCACUUUUGUCCGGAAAGAAAUCCUUGACUCUAAUACAGUCGGGGGAUGACGGUACCGGAAGAAUAAGCACCGGCUAACUACGUGCCAGCAGCCGCGGUAAUACGUAGGGUGCAAGCGUUAAUCGGAAUUACUGGGCGUAAAGCGUGCGCAGGCGGUUUGCUAAGACCGAUGUGAAAUCCCCGGGCUCAACCUGGGAACUGCAUUGGUGACUGGCAGGCUAGAGUAUGGCAGAGGGAGGUAGAAUUCCACGUGUAGCAGUGAAAUGCGUAGAGAUGUGGAGGAAUACCGAUGGCGAAGGCAGCCCCCUGGGCCAAUACUGACGCUCAUGCACGAAAGCGUGGGGAGCAAACAGGAUUAGAUACCCUGGUAGUCCACGCCCUAAACGAUGUCAACUAGUUGUUGGGGAUUCAUUUCCUUAGUAACGUAGCUAACGCGUGAAGUUGACCGCCU
rnacentral:rRNA from 1 species